CUGAUCGGCGCGUCCGGGUCAAUUGCGGCUUGCAACACCCGAUCUCGCUCAACGUGCCUCCACGAAUGGAGGUUACGGAGGGAGAGCGCGUGACAGUCAG
rnacentral:ncRNA from 1 species